rnacentral:rRNA from 1 species
AAUGAACGCUGGCGGCGUGGAUUAGGCAUGCAAGUCGUACGAGAAAGCGGAAUUUAUUUCGCGAGUACAGUGGCGAACGGGUGAGUAACGCGUGGGAAACCUGCCCUGAAGUGGGGGAUAACAUUCCUAACGGAAUGCUAAUACCGCAUAACAUUUCUUGACGCAUGUCAGGAAAUCAAAGGUGGCCUCUACUUGUAAGCUGUCGCUUUAGGAUGGUCCCGCGUCCAAUUAGCUAGUUGGUAGGGUAACGGCCUACCAAGGCGACGAUUGGUAGCCGGCCUGAGAGGGUGACCGGCCACACUGGGACUGAGACACGGCCCAGACUCCUACGGGUGGCAG